GGGCCUUUAAUUGAUAUAAUUUUAUUCAUCCAUACCAAAUAGUCAAAACACAUCAUUGUAAUAAAUCGGAAAAAAAUUUUGUUUUACAUAUUGCCCAUCAAAUAAACAUCAUCUUACACUCCUCUUAAACAACAGAAAAUUAUUGUAUAAAAGAAGAUAAUUUACAACUUGUUGUCUUCAAAUCGUUGGGUUGGCUAGCUCUAAAAUAUCCUUCCCGUUACUUUCUUCUUGGCCUGCACCUCUCUUUUGAAUGCAAUGGGUAAAUUCAAUCUUCAUGAUCGCCACAGAGAAGCUUGUCCUCAGAAAACUCAGAUCGAGUAUGAAUCUAAGUUCAGAUAAUAUAAUAGAGAUUUAGUUAUCUAUUGAAAUAAGUUAAAGGCUGGACAAAACAUAAACUGACUGAAGGCGUAGAAUAUGUAACAGAUUUUUAUGAAUGCAUUAGUCAAGACUAAAAUUGGUCUAUAGACUGAUGAUGCUUGUACUUAAAGAGAACAUGAAAACUCACAGCCAAUAUGUUAUCAAUUUCAUUUUGUAUCCUCCAGUUCAAGAAAUCAAUCAUUUGAAACAUGAAGUAUGAUUGGUAAGAAUACUUGAAAUCGAUAAACUUGAUUCAAGUCAGAUACUCUUUGGGAUUUUCUUAAAAUAGAAUGUGUCGUACCAUUUUAUACGCAUUGGAGACAUUCCCAUCCCUUGCUUUCAGAAAUCUCACCAAAUUCUCAGUGGGUUACCCUUGAUGUAUAUUCUGAAAACCAGGACAAAAUGUAACAGUUUAUACAUUUCAAUUUAUAAAAUUCGAACAGAAAAUUUGUCCGUGUAAUACUUGCAGGUUUCCUAACGAAAAGAAUCUUCAUCUUCCAAAACCAGUAGAUGUGGGAAAUAAACGAAUAAUAGCUUGAUUUUGUGUGGUAAUGCACUAGUAUUGUUCUUUCCAGCAAUAUGAGAAUCAAUCACCUUCUAUUUUCUAAAAUGGUUACAAAACUAGUUUUCUUGAAAGAAUCUCUCGAUUUUUCUAAUUUGUAUAUUCAUAUAGGUUGCUGUAAAGCUAAGGAAGACUGUUUAAGGAAUAGAAAUUAGAUUGAUUGAAUAGAAUGGUAAUAAAAUAGAUACAGUUAUAACCAGAGACAAAUAAUCUGCCUCAAAGCACAAAAAUUGCAAAAAAUAACCAAACUAAAAAAUGCAAGCCUCAAUGUAUACAAAAGAAGAUCACAUUAGAACUCCACCUAUACACUCAAUGAUACCAAAUUCUUGUAUAAAAGCGAAUCAUGG
rnacentral:lncRNA from 1 species